rnacentral:rRNA from 1 species
AUUGACAGUGACAUCCAAAAGUGAUGCGAUCUUGUUUGAUCUCAGAAGCUAAGCAGGGUCAGGCCUGGUUAGUACUUGGAUGGGAGACCAAAAGUGGCACAAUAACGAAUUGACACAC